rnacentral:rRNA from 1 species
GACGAACGCUGGCGGCAUGCUUAACACAUGCAAGUCGAACGGAAAGGCCUGCUUUCCCUUGUGGAUUGCGGGUGCUCGAGUGGCGAACGGGUGAGUAACACGUGAGUGAUCUGCCCCCAACUUGGGUAUAAGCCUGGGAAACUGGGUCUAAUUCCCGAUAGGACUGCAGGGUGGUGCCUGUGGUGGAAAACGAUUUUCUAGUGGUUGGGGAUGAGCUCGCGGCCUAUCAGCUUGUUGGUGGGGUAAUGGCCUACCAAGGCGGCGACGGGUAGCCGGCCUGAGAGGGUGGACGGCCACAUUGGGACUGAGAUACGGCCCAGACUCCUACGGGAGGCAGCAGUGGGGAAUAUUGCACAAUGGGCGGAAGCCUGAUGCAGCGACGCCGCGUGGGGGAUGACGGCCUUCGGGUUGUAAACUCCUUUCGACCGCGAGGAAGCCACCUGGUUGGAAGGGUGGUGACGGUAGUGGUAGAAGAAGCACCGGCUAACUACGUG